CACGUAGGCGGCUUAUCAAGUCAGGGGUGAAAUCCCGGGGCUCAACCCCGGAACUGCCCUUGAAACUGCUAAGCUAGAAUCUUGGAGAGGCGAGUGGAAUUCCGAGUGUAGAGGUGAAAUUCGUAGAUAUUCGGAAGAACACCAGUGGCGAAGGCGACUCGCUGGACAAGUAUUGACGCUGAGGUGCGAAAGCGUGGGGAGCAAACA
rnacentral:rRNA from 1 species